AUUGAACGCUGGCGGCAGGCUUAACACAUGCAAGUCGAGCGGAGAUGAGGUGCUUGCACCUUAUCUUAGCGGCGGACGGGUGAGUAAUGCUUAGGAAUCUGCCUAUUAGUGGGGGACAACAUUCCGAAAGGAAUGCUAAUACCGCAUACGUCCUACGGGAGAAAGCAGGGUAUCUUCGGACCUUGCGCUAAUAGAUGAGCCUAAGUCGGAUUAGCUAGUUGGUGGGGUAAAGGCCUACCAAGGCGAAGAUCUGUAGCGGGUCGGAGAGGAUGAUACGCCACACUGGGACUGAGACACGGCCCAGACUCCUACGGGAGGCAGCAGUGGGGAAUAUUGGGCAAUGGGGGGAACCCUGAUCCAGCCAUGCCGCGUGUGUGAAGAAGGCCUUAUGGUUGUAAAGCACUUUAAGCGAGGAGGAGGCUACUGAGACUAAUACUCUUGGAUAGUGGACGUUACUCGCAGAAUAAGCACCGGCUAACUCUGUGCCAGCCGCCGCGGUAAGAC
rnacentral:rRNA from 1 species